UGGCAGAACCGUGAGUCAUCAGAUGUUUGAACGCAACUGGCGCCGACUGGCUCUCCAGUCGGCAUGCUUGUUUCAGUGUCUCUUUCUCUCCUCACCCAAAUCCUAAUGCGAGGGAUGCCCUUCUCUCGCUAAGCACAAAAGCACUCUGCGCUCUGCAGGCGGCUUCUUACGAGGUCGCACUCAAUGCAGCAGUCACAUGGAUAAAAUGUGAACUCAUUGAGAGUAGAGGCAGCGCAGCCUAGCUGCCAGUGCUUAGUCACACAAACUUUACUUGCAUCUGAAAUCAAGCAGGAUCACCCGCUGAACUUAAGCAUAUCAAUAAGCGGGA
rnacentral:rRNA from 1 species